UCUCUAGCCCUUCACCGGAAAUCGUCGCCGCCAUACCGCCGUCGCCGGAAUCCGGAUUUCAACCAAAAUUUCCAGAUUUUCUUCUCUUCAUCCCCUCUUUCCAUUUCUCCAACCAAAAUCAUGAAAUUUAGCCAUUUAAUCCCCCAAAAACCCUUGAACCCGAAGCUAAAAUUGGGGCUUUUGUGAUUUCUUCUUUCCAAGCUCAAAUCAAGCUAGGCUCCGGGUUUGGCAAGGAUUUUUGGUGAAGAAGGCCAAGGAGAAGGAUUAGGACGUGAUUUUUGAAGAGGAAAGGGAAACACGAUCGUUAAGGAAGCUUAAGCGGAAAGCAUCAGAGUGUGGAGUACGCCAGCAUUUUCCAGGUAGGGUGAGCUGUCCCUUCCUUGUUAGAGGCUUUUCGAUAUAUGUGGAAUGCUCUAGUAUAAUAUUAUGUUGCCUGCAAGUAUGUUUUUGGUUGUUCAU